UAUGUACUUCCUCCGUCCGAAAAUACUUGUCAAAAAAUGGAUAUAUCUAGACGUAUUUUAAUUAUAGAUGCAUUCAUUUUUAUUUAUUUGUCCGACAAGUAUUUUCGGACGGAGGGAGUACUAU
rfam:Triticum aestivum genome assembly, contig: Triticum_aestivum_CS42_TGACv1_scaffold_196984_3AL